rnacentral:rRNA from 1 species
GGGUAGGGGAGCGUUCUGUAAGCCUGCGAAGGUGGCCUGUGAGGGUUGCUGGAGGUAUCAGAAGUGCGAAUGCUGACAUAAGUAACGAUAAAGCGGGUGAAAAGCCCGCUCGCCGGAAGACCAAGGGUUCCUGUCCAACGUUAAUCGGGGCAGGGUGAGUCGACCCCUAAGGCGAGGCCGAAAGGCGUAGUCGAUGGGAAACGGGUUAAUAUUCCCGUACUUGGUGUUACUGCGAAGGGGGGACGGAGAAGGCUAUGUUGGCCGGGCGACGGUUGUCCCGGUUUAAGCGUGUAGGUGUGUGUUCCAGGUAAAUCCGGUUCACUUUAACACUGAGGCGUGACGACGAGGCACUACGGUGCUGAAGCAACAAAUGCCCUGCUUCCAGGAAAAGCCUCUAAGCAUCAGGUAACAUCAAAUCGUACCCCAAACCGACACAGGUGGUCAGGUAGAGAAUACCAAGGCGCUUGAGAGAACUCGGGUGAAGGAACUAGGCAAAAUGGUGCCGUAACUUCGGGAGAAGGCACGCUGACACGUAGGUGAAGUGAUUUACUCAUGGAGCUGAAGUCAGUCGAAGAUACCAGCUGGCUGCAACUGUUUAUUAAAAACACAGCACUGUGCAAACACGAAAGUGGACGUAUACGGUGUGACGCCUGCCCGGUGCCGGAAGGUUAAUUGAUGGGGUCAGCGCAAGCGAAGCUCCUGAUCGAAGCCCCGGUAAACGGCGGCCGUAACUAUAACGGUCCUAAGGUAGCGAAAUUCCUUGUCGGGUAAGUUCCGACCUGCACGAAUGGCGUAAUGAUGGCCAGGCUGUCUCCACCCGAGACUCAGUGAAAUUGAACUCGCUGUGAAGAUGCAGUGUACCCGCGGCAAGACGGAAAGACCCCGUGAACCUUUACUAUAGCUUGACACUGAACAUUGAGCCUUGAUGUGUAGGAUAGGUGGGAGGCUUUGAAGUGUGGACGCCAGUCUGCAUGGAGCCGACCUUGAAAUACCACCCUUUAAUGUUUGAUGUUCUAACGUGGACCCGUUACCCGGGUUGCGGACAGUGUCUGGUGGGUAGUUUGACUGGGGCGGUCUCCUCCUAAAGAGUAACGGAGGAGCACGAAGGUUGGCUAAUCCUGGUCGGACAUCAGGAGGUUAGUGCAAUGGCAUAAGCCAGCUUGACUGCGAGCGUGACGGCGCGAGCAGGUGCGAAAGCAGGUCAUAGUGAUCCGGUGGUUCUGAAUGGAAGGGCCAUCGCUCAACGGAUAAAAGGUACUCCGGGGAUAACAGGCUGAUACCGCCCAAGAGUUCAUAUCGACGGCGGUGUUUGGCACCUCGAUGUCGGCUCAUCACAUCCUGGGGCUGAAGUAGGUCCCAAGGGUAUGGCUGUUCGCCAUUUAAAGUGGUACGCGAGCUGGGUUUAGAACGUCGUGAGACAGUUCGGUCCCUAUCUGCCGUGGGCGCUGGAGAACUGAGGGGGGCUGCUCCUAGUACGAGAGGACCGGAGUGGACGCAUCACUGGUGUUCGGGUUGUCAUGCCAAUGGCACUGCCCGGUAGCUAAAUGCGGAAGAGAUAAGUGCUGAAAGCAUCUAAGCACGAAACUUGCCCCGAGAUGAGUUCUCCCUGAGACUUAGAGUCUCCUGAAGGAACGUUGAAGACGACGACGUUGAUAGGCCGGGUGUGUAAGCGCAGCGAUGCGUUGAGCUAACCGGUACUAAUGAACCGUGAGGCUUAACCUUAC